rnacentral:lncRNA from 1 species
GAAGAUCGCUAGGCUUUUUGCAGAUACCAGCAGAAGUCUUUGAAGAAGAAAAAACAUGUUUGUUACGGAUACUGACCUGUGAGCCACUGAGAGGGUAACUGGGGCCCAGAGAAGGGCCAGGCUGAAUUCUGCCUUUAGGACAGCAGCCCAGGAAGCAUUUCCUACCAUGUGCAGCCAUCUGCACCGCAUCUCCUGAACUUGCUUGGUCCAUGAUUUGGGAGCCCCGUGGUGAUCUUAAACGCCCAUGCGCAGCCGUGGCAUUUGCGGAGUGCUCUCUCACACGUUGAGUAUGGUUCUCUGCCUUGCCUUUACAAACAAGGGCCUGAAGGGGAGAGAGCUUGCAGCUGCCUAAGGUGACAGUGCUGCAGCCUAGACCAGAAUUGUUCUUUGGGGCAGUAGGCUUCCCCAAAUGGUUUUUCCUUGGCAAUAGGACUGUCCCUUAGAUGUCUCUUCCCAUUUGUAGAUCACUGCCCCAUCUCCUCCAUAUCCCCUCACCUAAAAUAGAAUGGGUGAAACUAUGAUGCUAUGCAGGAUACUGUCAUUUACAUUAACAUUAAACCGUACCUGUACUUGAUGCAAAGGACAUGUGCUCCACAAUCCAGGAAUAGCCACUUUCAGGGAUUUUCCAAAUCUAAUUAGAUUGAAAUGCAAAAUAUCCCUCUGUUCUAGCUAUUGUUAACCCUGGCUGCAUGUGGGAAACACUCAAGGAGCUUUAAGAUACAAAACACUGCCAGGCUCCCUUACCCAGUCAGUCAAAUCCGAUUCUGGAGUUGGGACCUAGGUGUGUGAUGAGAACUGCUGAGUCCUGUCGAAGGUUAAGCUGGGCAGCACUGCUUGGCAGCCACUGGAGGUGCUGUUCCCACCCAUGUGCAGCUGGGCAGGGUCCCUACCCCAGGGCAGCAGUUAAUGGCCUAGACACCCCUGCAUAUUUGAGAUCAAGAAAUGUCAGUAGUGGUUAAUAAUGUGAAUUCCACAGUCUGUAUCUUUCACACUUCCAUUCUCUGCUUUUAAGGUGAGAUUCUAAGUACUGUGGACCCAUAAUCUGUCAGGUAGAGUCUGAAAUGUUUUUCCUCUCAUUUUAGGGAUGGGCGUGUUUUGGGCGUGCUAGAGGUGUCACGCUCCAUUGGGGACGGGCAGUACAAGCGCUGCGGUGUCACCUCUGUGCCCGACAUCAGACGCUGCCAGCUGACCCCCAAUGACAGGUUCAUUUUGUUGGCCUGUGAUGGGCUCUUCAAGGUCUUUACCCCAGAAGAAGCCGUGAACUUCAUCUUGUCCUGUCUCGAGGUGAGAAAUCUCACACGGGGGUGGUGGUUGUCCCAAUUGUGUCUUAGUUUUCAGAGAAGUAGAAGUUCUGAGACCCCAUUUCCUCCCAUUGUGGGACAGCCCUUGUGCCCUUUUUCAGUGUGAACUCUGCCUACUGACUCACUGGUCAGUUUGUCCUGCCAGCCCUGAUGGAGACCAGAGCAGCUCUUCUUCCUGGCAGUCAUGUCUCAGGAAAGUGACAGGGUGCGGGGUCACUCCAUUCACUCAUUCCCUUUCUCAUCUGGUAGGAUGAAAAGAUCCAGACCCGGGAAGGGAAGUCCGCAGCCGACGCCCGCUACGAAGCAGCCUGCAACAGGCUGGCCAACAAGGCGGUGCAGCGGGGCUCGGCCGACAACGUCACUGUGAUGGUGGUGCGGAUAGGGCACUGAGGGGUGGCGCGCGGCCAGGAGCACGCAUGGUAUUGACUUAAAAGGUUCAUUUUGUGUGUGUGCACAUUGUGUGUUUUGUGUACUCCUGUGGGACUCCCAUGGUUGUAAAUAAAGGUUUCUCUUUUUUUU